rnacentral:tRNA from 3 species
GCGCCGGUGGUCUAGCGGUAGGACCUGAGCCUUCCAAGCUCAUGGCCCGGGUUCAAAUCCCGGCCGGCGCA